GACGAACGCUGGCGGCGUGCCUAAUACAUGCAAGUCGAGCGAAGUUUUUCUGGUGCUUGCACUAGAAAAACUUAGCGGCGAACGGGUGAGUAACACGUAAAGAACCUGCCUCAUAGACUGGGACAACUAUUGGAAACGAUAGCUAAUACCGGAUAACAGCAUUAACUGCAUGGUUGAUGUUUAAAAGUUGGUUUUGCUAACACUAUGAGAUGGCUUUGCGGUGCAUUAGCUAGUUGGUGGGGUAAAGGCCUACCAAGGCGACGAUGCAUAGCCGACCUGAGAGGGUGAUCGGCCACACUGGGACUGAGACACGGCCCAGACUCCUACGGGAGGCCUCCUCCUCGCUCUUCCGCUUUGCAACAAAAAGGGAUUCUUCACCCCCGCGGGAUGGAUGGAUCAGGCUUGCGCCCAUUGUCCAAUAUUCCCCACUGCUGCCUCCCGUAGGAGUCUGGGCAGUGUAUACGUCCCCUGUGGGAGAUCCUCCUCUCAAACCUGUACGCAUCGUCGCCUAGGCAGG
rnacentral:rRNA from 1 species